AACAUUGCCUGCAAGAAAGCUGAUAUCGACAUGAACAAGAGGUUAGCCCCUUUAAUCUGGCAGUUGUUUAGCUCUUACUGAAGAUUCCUCAAGUGAAUGUCCAUUUGCACUGGCGUUUCUAUUUUCCCCUUUUAGCUUAUUGCAUUGUUAAAGAUUUCACCUUUUUAUACUAUUGAUUUGACAAAGAAAUAUUAGUUUUGUUUGCUGGUUUUUAGAUGUAUGCUGCGUUUUAACUUUUCAAAGAUUUAUUGGUGUUAUAUUUUGUAAUUGUUUUUGUCUUGCAUUAUUGAGUCACAAGAUUGAAUUAGAUGCAAAUAUGUCCCUUCCACUGCCUUGAGUGAAACAUUAACCAGAAAUUUAAAUUAAGUUAGUCAUGAAUAAAGAUGAUAGAAUAUAUUUUGCCUAGAGCCUGAUGGCUCUUUGUUUUUUCUUUGGGACCGAGAGUAAUUAUCUAAGUGUUGUAGAACAGAAUGGCUCUUUUAGCAUGGAAUCUGAACUAGUAUCUUUAAUUGAUUUUUAUCUCUCUAGUAUAUGGCAUGUGCAACAUCUUUAAGACAUUUUUAACAGUGUCAAGCAGGGAAAAUUUCCAUCCCCCUUUUCUUGCUAGCAAACAGUCUUAUUUGUUGUUACCUAUCCAAUGAAAUUUUGGCCAAGGAUUAAAGAUUCUCUUUCAGCUUGCUUUAGAAUUUUCAGUGUUUUGUUCUUUGAGAUUUUUGUGAAGGUUGAUUUCAUCUGUAGUUUGUUGGGCAUGAUAUGAGGGUAAAACAGGAGUUAAUAAUCCUAUAUAUAUUUUUACUGCUUUAUAUUUAAUUCUUCAAAAUUACCUGAGUUUGCUUUUAUGCUCUGUUCUGUAGGGCGGGAGAACUUACUGCUGCAGAGCUUGACAGUGUGAUGGUGGUUGUUGCAAAUCCCCGUCAAUUCA
rnacentral:lncRNA from 1 species